CACUAGCUAUCAUCAAUAGCUAUCAUCGCUAUAUAUCAUUGCUAUAUAACAUCACUAGCUAUCAUCACCAGAUAUAUAUCAUCAAUAUAUACCAUUGGUAGAUAUCAUCACUCGGUAUCAUCACUCUUCAAUUAUUUGUAUUCUUUUUUUAUUGAUGUUACUCUAUCAGAUUGCAUCUGAUCUUCUGAAUAGCAGUAGAUGCACUAUAUUUACACUUUUGUAAUAGAUCACAGUUAGCUUGAUGAGUGUUCUCAAGAAUGAGAAGGAAGUGAAGAAUGUUCUUAUAUAAUAAUUAAUUCUGUUUGAGCAAUAUUAUACAAUGAUAUUUUGAAGAAGAUUGGGAUUUGAAAGGGUCGAUGUUUUGCAAUUAAGCUUGGGGUUUGGCGGCUCGAGAACUUAAGGAGAAGAGGGCAACUGAAGAUCGAAAACGGAGAAAACCUUUGUAGCUUGUUCCCAAGACUCAAAAAAAGGAG
rnacentral:sRNA from 1 species